GGAGGGUGCAAACGUUGUUCGGAAUCACUGGGCGUAAAGGGCGCGCAGGCGGACCUGUAAGUCAGGAGUGAAAACUCGGGGCUCAACUCCGAGCCUGCUUCUGAAACUGCAAGUCUUGAGGGCCGGAGAGGAGAGUGGAAUUCCUAGUGUAGCGGUGGAAUGCGUAGAUAUUAGGAAGAACACCAGUGGCGAAGGCGACUCUCUGGACGGUUCCUGACGCUGAGGCGCGAAAGCUAGGGGAGCAAACAGGGAUUAGAUACCCUGGUAGUCCUAGCCGUAAACGAUGAGUGCUAGGUGGUGGUGGUUUCAACGCCUUCACUGCCGGAGCUAACGCAUUAAGCACUCCGCCUGGGAGUACGGCCGCAAGGUUG
rnacentral:rRNA from 1 species